ensembl:lncRNA
ACUGUUUCCGUUUCGUUCUCUCUUCUGCUCUUACGCAAUACACACAUACACGCCCCUGUGCUUUCUCCGACCGAAUUGUGGGUUGGGGGCCGAGUGAGGAGGGGGAAAUGGAAAUGAAAGUGCACUAUAAGGUGUGAAAUGUGUAGUGUUAACCAUAAUUUCUCCAGUUAGCACUGCGCGUGUGCAACAAUGAACUUUUUCUAUGCACUCCUCUUCUGUAUGGUGUCCUGCCUCUGUGGAAGUGAAGGUGAGUCAGGACUGCUGUGUGAAUCUCACUUGAAUAGCCACUCUUUUUAUAGCCACUGUGUCAUUCGAAGAGUCACACACAAAAGACUGACAGCGAUCUGGUCCAGAUCUUGUUGCUUGAAAAAAUAUACAGCAAAAUAUCCACCUGUGAAAAAUGUUGUGGAUUGUAAAGUCCAGAGUGCAGGGGUUUGCCCCUUUGAUGCAAUCAUUAUCACGACGCGCAGAGGCCGGAAACUCUGUUAUGAUCCAAAGGAGGAAUGGGUUGUUAAAAAUGUGAUGAACGGAACCAACGCUUGUGAUGGGAACAUAACAAAGAAGAACUCCAGAAAGGGCAAAAAGGCAGGCAGGGGAAGGAAAAGGGGAAAGAAAGUUUAAACUAGAUUAUUGUUCAAAUAUAAUUAACUGUAAUGCAAAAUGUUUUGAUGAGUGCUGGCACUCAGUUAUUUAAAUACAUAUAUUGUACGUAAUAGGUUGUUCGGCUUCAAGAAAACCUCACAAUAAAAAAAAAAAAAACAAGGAACAAAAUUAGUUAUAAAUAUACUUUUUGUAUUAGUCUGUAAAUCUGUGAAAUGUUAUGUUUAUAAAAAAAAUUGUCUAUAGUACAAACAGAACGUACUCAGUAUGUGCAAUAUAUAUGUGUAUAUAUAUAUGUGUGUGUGUGUGUGUGUGUG